AAGUUUGAUUCUCAAAUAUAUUUGUAUUCUCAAUAAAAGAUGUUGGAUAAUCAUGAUUCUGAAUAAUCGAAAUCUUAUUGUACUUCAAAUAUAAAAAUAUUUCUAUCUGCACACACACACAUAAAUAUUUCUAUCAAUUCGAUUUAAAAAUCAGAGAGUUCCCAAAGAGCAAAGCAAUAAUUUGAUUGUAAAAUUUCUCUGUAAAAGUGUUACUUUUUUAACGAACAAGAGGAAGUGUAAAGAUGUAAUGAAAUUCUUCGAAGUGCCAGAAAGAAAAGAAACUCGAUAAAGUAUCCAUAAGAAGUUUGAGGACCAGGGAAUACUGGACCAAUUUACGACCAAUGCUUACGUUCCGACAAGAAGAACACGAAAAUAAACGUAACUUCCACACAUUCGAAAAAGAAUGACAAUUGGAAUACUUAAUGAAGUUUUUGAUUCAAUUUUUCAAAAUUCGUUUCUUUUUUUCUUUAUUUUUUUAAGAAUAAACAUUUUAAAAUUAAUUGAAGUUAAUAAAUGAAUAUUAAAAUCAAGUUAACAGUGAAAAUCGAAAAAUCUGAAACCAAAUUUCAACGAUUCGUAUGUUGAGAAAAACGAUAAAUUUGACGUCAUUGAGCUCUUUUGCCCUACUCUUUGAACAUAAAUUAAUUUUCCAUCUGGAUUCCCGCUCGUCCAGCGUGCAAAUAAUCUCGAAUAAGGCUACCUCUUCGAUUCGGGGAUCGUUAAACACGCGAGUGGGUCAAGGACGCGGAGUGAACUUGCACUCUCGUCGCGUCUAACUAAGGGGAGCAGUAGUUGCAAGGGAGGAAAGUGGAAAUGGCCACUUUGAUAUCGAUUGUGGUUGUUUUCGAAUAAUUUCCAAGGAGAAUGAGAUCUGGAAUUAAAUUCUAAACUUGGAACUCUUUUUAACUACGAAGAAAAAAUAUUUUUGAUAUUAUUGAAUUUUUAAUUUUAGUAAUUUUUUAGUAAAAAAAUAUCAAGAAUUCUAUAUAUAUAUAUAUAUUUAAAAGUGAAAUCUAUUAUGUAAAAAGUUUGUAUGAUUUUUUUUCUAUUACGAGUGGGAAGGAAAUAACUUUUAUCUCGAAUGACUUUUAUGUGAUUAACCAAUAUUAUUCAAUUUUUUAUUUUUGAAUCACAAAACGAAAUAUAUGAAAUAUAAAACGUGUCAAAUAACGAUGUGAUCUAGUUAAAUUUAAAAAUUUCUUAAAAGGAAGAUAACAAAUUUUUCAUUUUAUAUUAAGCUGAAAAAUAUUGUGGAUAAUGUAAGAGUUAAAAAAAAAAACGUGAUGAAAUA